ACCGCAGAAGCAGGACAGGCGCCCCACUGCUCUGCCCUGCCGCUUGCAGCCCCAGGGUUCAAACCCCACCCCCUGCCGCGCAGGCGCAGGACGAGCCAGGACUGGCCUUCGCCAACAGAUCACUCCGCCACAUUCCUUGUGUAAGUGAAGUUCUAGAAAUGGAGUGUGUUUUACUCUGCGUUAAAAAGAAAAAUCAGUUCCUGUCAACACCUUCCUCCACCGGAAUGGGAUGGAUAGUGGAUGGGAGAGGGAUCUGCUGACAAGGGCAGAGGCAGAAAAGCUCAGGUGAGGCGUUGAAGAGGCCCAGGGCCUGGAGGGAUGCUGAGAGCUUUGACCUUCUCGCACACCGUGUGUCCCUCCGCGUGCAGCACGGAGGACUUUCCUGUGGGGCUUUUGGGGGCAGACCCGACGCGGCAUUUUCGGAAAAUUCCGCCCUAUGCACCUGAAGCGCCUUGUGCGUAGCGCGGCUUCGUCAGUCUAGCCGGUUCUAGGCUCUCUGGGUCCACAACCACCUCCUGCUGCUCGCCCUUCGAGGCUUCUGAAGCUUUUCCAGAAUUUGAGGCUGAUCUCUGAGGUUAAAUCACUUUUUUGACCUCGAAGAUCUUUCAAGAAGUAUUCAUAAGAAGCUGUCUCUGGAGCCUUCCACUUUAAGGGGUCCAAGAAAUGGAGCAAAUUUCUUAAGAUGACAACCAUUCAUUCACAGGAUCAGGAUUAUAAAGCCAGUCUAUGCAACAGUGGGGACCAGGCUUUUUCAUAUGAAACACCAUUAGAGAACAGGAAUCUAAUUCUCAUUUUUGAUGUUGGCCCCAUCAGUAUGGUUAAUGUUGUACUUCCACCAUAUCGGAUGUUUCGGUCUGCAAAGGAAAAAGCGAAGAUCAGGGUAAGAAAUCUUCUUUUAAACAAAUAUCCCUCUUUCUGUUUAUAUUUCAUUGGUGAGAACUUACCUAAAGAGCCACACCUGGUUGUAAGUGUAAGGAUGAGAAAAGUAAUUCAUAGCUAUGCAGCUGUGUGCCCAGAAAGAGAGUAUGGAUUUAGAUAUAAAACUUGCAAACUGCCAGAAUCCUUCCUAUAACCUCCAAGUAUCUGAUCAUGCUUGUUUUCCAAUAAAUUGAAGUCAUUCCCUUUCCUAUGGCUCA
rnacentral:lncRNA from 1 species